rnacentral:rRNA from 1 species
UUACCUAGGUUUGACAUCCGGAGACCUUCCCGAAAGGAAGGGUGCCCUUCGGGAAUUCCGAGACAGGUGCUGCAUGGCUGUCGUCAGCUCGUGCCGUGAGGUGUUGGGUUAAGUCCCGCAACGAGCGCAACCCUAUUGCCAGUUGCUACCAGGUAAUGCUGGGCACUCUGGUGAGACUGCCCCGGUUAACGGGGAGGAAGGUGGGGACGACGUCAAGUCAUCAUGGCCCUUACGCCUAGGGCUACACACGUACUACAAUGGCGCAUACAAAGGGCAGCGAUACCGCGAGGUGGAGCCAAUCCCAAAAAGUGCGUCCCAGUCCGGAUUGCAGUCUGCAACUCGACUGCAUGAAGUUGGAAUCGCUAGUAAUUCGAGAUCAGCAUGCUCGGGUGAAUGCGUUCCCGGGCCUU